UUACAAGUUGCGGCGCUAGUCGGGAAGACACUCCAGUCUCACCCACAGGGGUGUAGAUACAAGAUACUACAUAUUAGAUAGAUAAAUAUGUGACAGAUCCAUUGGCGAAAUAAACGUCUCUCACCCGUAGCGUGUGUUUGGCUAUCACAUCAUUCACUGCCCUGCCACAUGUUUAUGAAGUCAGGAUUGGCGGGAGACAAUAAAGUGCAGACUGCCUUUAUACGCACAGAUGAAGAUUCACAAGGAAAUAACUGUUGACACGGGAUGGAGUAAUCGGAUGCUGCCUUAACAGCUCUGUUGCGGAAACAGGUGGAAAUCACUUGAUGCCAGGUCUGGCGAGUAUGGAGGGCGAGGAAGCUCUUCGAACCCACGUUGUCGCACAGCAGCCUUUGCAAGUCGAGAGGUGUGAGAAGAGGCAUUGUCAUGAAAAAGUACACCUCCAGCAGUUAGCAUUCCUCGCUGCUUUUGUUUGAUAGAAUCGCUCAGGCGAUAAAGCAAAUCAGCAUGGUAGGCACCGGUAAUCAUCUUUUGACUUUCUAAGUAAUCAACAAGGAUCACGCCCUUUGCAUCCCAGAAUACAGUGGCCAUAACUUCCUUCACUGAUCUUGAAGACUUGAAUUUCUC